rnacentral:rRNA from 1 species
UGGGGAAUGUUGGACAAUGGGGGAAACCCUGAUCCAGCCAUCCCGCGUGUGCGAUGAAGGCCUUCGGGUUGUAAAGCAUUUUUGGCAGGAAAGAAACGUCAUGGGUUAAUACCCCGUGAAACUGACGGUACCUGCAGAAUAAGCACCUGCUAACUACGUGCCAGCAGCCGCGGUAAUACGUAGGGUGCAAGCGUUAAUCGGAAUUACUGGGCGUAAAGCGUGCGCAGGCGGUUCGGAAAGAAAGAUGUGAAAUCCCAGAGCUCAACUUUGGAACUGCAAUGUUCACUACCGGGCUAAACCGUGUCAGAGGGAUGUGGAAUUCCGCGUGUAGCAGUGAAAUGCGUAGAUAUGCGGAGGCACACCGAUGGCGAAGGCAGCCUCCUGAGAUAACACUGCCGCUCAUGCAAGAAAGCGUGGGGAGCCACCAGG